rnacentral:rRNA from 1 species
ACGCUGGCGGCAGGCCUAACACAUGCAAGUCGAACGGUAACAGGAAGAAGCUUGCUUCUUUGCUGACGAGUGGCGGACGGGUGAGUAAUGUCUGGGAAACUGCCUGAUGGAGGGGGAUAACUACUGGAAACGGUAGCUAAUACCGCAUAACGUCGCAAGACCAAAGAGGGGGACCUUCGGGCCUCUUGCCAUCGGAUGUGCCCAGAUGGGAUUAGCUAGUAGGUGGGGUAACGGCUCACCUAGGCGACGAUCCCUAGCUGGUCUGAGAGGAUGACCAGCCACACUGGAACUGAGACACGGUCCAGACUCCUACGGGAGGCAGCAGUGGGGAAUAUUGCACAAUGGGCGCAAGCCUGAUGCAGCCAUGCCGCGUGUAUGAAGAAGGCCUUCGGGUUGUAAAGUACUUUCAGCGGGGAGGAAGGGAGUAAAGUUAAUACCUUUGCUCAUUGACGUUACCCGCAGAAGAAGCACCGGCUAACUCCGUGCCAGCAGCCGCGGUAAUACGGAGGGUGCAAGCGUUAAUCGGAAUUACUGGGCGUAAAGCGCACGCAGGCGGUUUGUUAAGUCGGAUGUGAAAUCCCCGGGCUCAACCUGGGAACUGCAUCUGAUACUGGCAAGCUUGAGUCUCGUAGAGGGGGGUAGAAUUCCAGGUGUAGCGGUGAAAUGCGUAGAGAUCUGGAGGAAUACCGGUGGCGAAGGCGGCCCCCUGGACGAAGACUGACGCUCAGGUGCGAAAGCGUGGGGAGCAAACAGGAUUAGAUACCCUGGUAGUCCACGCCGUAAACGAUGUCGACUUGGAGGUUGUGCCCUUGAGGCGUGGCUUCCGGAGCUAACGCGUUAAGUCGACCGCCUGGGGAGUACGGCCGCAAGGUUAAAACUCAAAUGAAUUGACGGGGGCCCGCACAAGCGGUGGAGCGUGUGGUUUAAUUCGAUGCAACGCGAAGAACCUUACCUGGUCUUGACAUCCACGGAAGUUUUCAGAGAUGAGAAUGUGCCUUCGGGAACCGUGAGACAGGUGCUGCAUGGCUGUCGUCAGCUCGUGUUGUGAAAUGUUGGGUUAAGUCCCGCAACGAGCGCAACCCUUAUCCUUUGUUGCCAGCGGUCCGGCCGGGAACUCAAAGGAGACUGCCAGUGAUAAACUGGAGGAAGGUGGGGAUGACGUCAAGUCAUCAUGGCCCUUACGACCAGGGCUACACACGUGCUACAAUGGCGCAUACAAAGAGAAGCGACCUCGCGAGAGCAAGCGGACCUCAUAAAGUGCGUCGUAGUCCGGAUUGGAGUCUGCAACUCGACUCCAUGAAGUCGGAAUCGCUAGUAAUCGUGGAUCAGAAUGCCACGGUGAAUACGUUCCCGGGCCUUGUACACACCGCCCGUCACACCAUGGGAGUGGGUUGCAAAAGAAGUAGGUAGCUUAACCUUCGGGAGGGCGCUUACCACUUUGUGAUUCAUGACUGGGGUGAAGUCGUAACAAGGUAACCGUAGGGGAACCUGCGGUUG